CAUAACAUCAAGGAUUUUGCGAUGUGAAGAGCGAAUCGAGCAACAAUAACCUUCAAUCGGCGGAAGUGACGGUGAUGAUCGGCGGUGGAAAGCUUUUCAGCAUCGAAGAAUUUGCAGAAAAUAGAGAGUGAUGAAGUUUCUGCGGUUUUAAGAUUCAGAGAAUGGUGAUGAAGAUCUUGCAGAGGAUAGGGAGAGUUUUCUUGGUGAGUUUCUCCCGAUUGUUGAAGAAUUAGAGUGAUUUGCAACUCUUGUUGGCAUUGGAUGUGGGGUGAGAUUGUCGGAAACUGAUAUAGCAGCAGGGCGAGGAGUCAUAGAUAAGUCCAUGUUAACUUGAUUGUUAUGUUUUUAUGCUACUUUGUAUACAAUAA